GAUGAACGCUGGCGGCGUGCCUAAUACAUGCAAGUCGAGCGAACGGACGAGAAGCGUGCUUCUCUGAUGUUAGCGGCGGACGGGUGAGUAACACGUGGAUAACCUACCUAUAAGACUGGGAGAACUUCGGGAAACCGGAGCUAAUACCGGGUAAUAUUUUGAACCGCAUGGUUCAAAAGUGAAAGACGGUCUUGCUGUCACUUAGAGAUGGAUCCGCGCUGCAUUAGCUAGUUGGUAAGGUAACGGCUUACCAAGGCAACGAUGCAUAGCCGACCUGAGAGGGUGAUCGGCCACACUGGAACUGAGACACGGUCCAGACUCCUACGGGAGGCAGCAGUAGGGAAUCUUGCGCAAUGGGCGAAAGCCUGACGGAGCAACGCCGCGUGAGUGAUGAAGGUCUUCGGAUCGUAAAACUCUGUUAUUAGGGAAGAAAAUAUGUGUAAGUAACUGUGCACAUCUUGACGGUACCUAAUCAGAAAGCCACGGCUAACUACGUG
rnacentral:rRNA from 1 species